UAGAUCGUCGCUCAGUGGAAGAGCGGUGGGGCGGUAGCCCAUGCGGCCCGGGUUCGAGCCCCGGUGAUGUAU